rnacentral:rRNA from 1 species
GACGAACGCUGGCGGCGUGCCUAAUACAUGCAAGUCGAGCGAAGUUUUUCUGGUGCUUGCACUAGAAAAACUUAGCGGCGAACGGGUGAGUAACACGUAAAGAACCUGCCUCAUAGACUGGGACAACUAUUGGAAACGAUAGCUAAUACCGGAUAACAGUAUUUCUCGCAUGAGAGAUAUUUAAAAGUUGGUUAUGCUAACACUAUGAGAUGGCUUUGCGGUGCAUUAGCUAGUUGGUGGGGGAAAGGCCCACCAAGGCGACGAGGCAUAGCCGACCUGGGAGGUUGAUCGGCCCCCCUGGGCCUGAGACACGGCCCAGCCUCCUCCGGAGGCAGCAGUAGGGAAUCUUCCGCAAUGGGCGAAAGCCUGACGGAGCAACGCCGCGUGAGUGAAGAAGGAUUUCGGUUCGUAAAGCUCUGUUGUUAGGGAAGAAUGGAUAUGUAGUAACUAUACAUGUAAGAGACGGUACCUAACCAGAAAGCCACGGCUAACUACGUG